rnacentral:rRNA from 1 species
UGGGGAAUUUUGGACAAUGGGGGAAACCCUGAUCCAGCCAUCCCGCGUGUGCGAUGAAGGCCUUCGGGUUGUAAAGCACUUUUGGCAGGAAAGAAACGUCGCGGGUUAAUACCCCGCGGAACUGACGGUACCUGCAGAAUAAGCACCGGCUAACUACGUGCCAGCAGCCGCGGUAAUACGUAGGGUGCAAGCGUUAAUCGGAAUUACUGGGCGUAAAGCGUGCGCAGGCGGUUCGGAAAGAAAGAUGUGAAAUCCCAGAGCUUAACUUUGGAACUGCAUUUUUAACUACCGGGCUAGAGUGUGUCAGAGGGAGGUGGAAUUCCGCGUGUAGCAGUGAAAUGCGUAGAUAUGCGGAGGAACACCGAUGGCGAAGGCAGCCUCCUGGGAUAACACUGACGCUCAUGCACGAAAGCGUGGGGAGCAAACAGGAUUAGAUACCCUGGUAGUCCACGCCCUAAACGAUGUCAACUAGCUGUUGGGGUCUUCGGACCUUGGUAGCGCAGCUAACGCGUGAAGUUGACCGCCUGGGGAGUACGGUCGCAAGAUUAAAACUCAAAGGAAUU